rnacentral:tRNA from 1 species
UUCUUAGGGGUGUCUUUUGCAUGAGUUUUUUUCGUAAACUAGGAUUUAAGAAG